rnacentral:lncRNA from 1 species
ACAGCCCGCGAGGAAGCCCGUCGGGGCCGGCGGGGCUGAUGGAAGGCCUGAGGAAUUCGCAGCCGGCGGCGCGGCCGGGCGCGUUCCCUUCCCCUCUCUCCGUUGCCCGGCGAGGGAGCCACAGCGCAGCGGUUGCCAUGGCCACGGGCCGGGCGUGGGGCUGGGGGACCAGGGGCCGCUGAGCCUCGAUCACCUUGUCCUGCUCGAGCCAGGUUGGCAUGGACUGGAAGAACCCCGCGGCGGCGGGCGGGAGGUGCUGGGGCCAGGGGAGGCCCCGAGGGACCCCGCCGCCCGGUCUGCGCCCUGAUCCCGCAGGGUCCUGUGGAAAUGCGGUGUCUGCCUCCCCGCCUCCUGCGCUCACACAUGCAGGCCUGGGGCCUGCGGGUCCCGGGGCUCUGAGCCUGCACAGCCCACGGGCCGCAGCCGCAGGCCCCGCACUGGUAGCUUAGGUGGACACGGAGGCUGAGGGGGAGUUUCCAAGGGGCCUGGCCUCACGCUCUGCCCGUCACAGCCGCCACCCCUCACCGGCCCUCCACCCACCCCUAACUCCUUAACCUCUCCCGGCCUCGGUUUCCUCACCUAUUAACUAGAGAUUAGUCAUAGCUACCAUCCAGGCUUGUUAUAUUAAAAUAGAAUAAUUAUGUAAUGUGCCGUGUGCACUCCAAACGCGGUCCUCUUUCCCUGUCCCACACCUCCUUCCUCCUGCAUCAGGCCUGGGGAGGGGGGCGUGCCGAUGUCACCCCCAACCCCCAGGCCUAGAGUCCUGGACACAUGGACGCCCCUGCCAGAGCUCCCCUCCCCGCGCUUGGGGUUACUUUGAACCCCGCCUCCUACAAGAGGAUGGUCCAGCCUAUUGUCGGAACCUGCAGGAAUCCCAGGCUGCGACCCAAGAAUAUUAGCGGAGGCCCAGCCUGGCUGGGGCUCUGCAAGUCCGACCUGGGUGCCCCAGAGAGCUGCUCCGGGAAAGACGUUUACCUGCUGCCCAGAGCUGGGACUGCAGACCCUGAUUGGCGAGGGCUUGGAGAGUAGCUGAGAACCUUCCCUUCAGCUACUGAAGACCAGACAGGGCUUUCUGUAUCACGCUGCCUGACGAUGAUGAGGGUGCAGUGACUAAGAGUGCAGAUGAAAGGCCCAGCUCUCCAACCAGGUGGAUGGAUUUGCAAGGAGCUUCUAUCUGGGCGUGGUGGCUCAUGCCUGUAAUCCCAGCACUUUGGGAGGCUGAGGCGAGCGAACCACCUGAGGGUGGGAGUUCAAGACCAGCCUGACCAACAUGGAGAAACCCCAUCUCUACUAAAAAUACAAAAUUAGCCGGGCAUGGUGGCAGGCACCUGUAAUCCCAGCUACUCGGGAGGCUGAGGCAGGAGAAUCGCUUGAACCCGGGAGGCGGAGGUUGCAGUGAGCCAAGAUCGUGCCAUUGCACUCCAGCCUGGGCGACAGAGUGAGACUCCAUUUCAAAAAAAAAAAAAAAAAAGAAAGGAGCUUCUGAGAGAUGGGGUCUCCACCUCCCCAUCAGAUACUCCAGGGCUUUGGAAAGAGCUGGCUGGCUCUUGGGCAUCACCUCAACUUUCCCCUAGGUGACGCUGCCAAGGAACUGUGGCACUGUCCCUACUUCCCACAUCCAGCUCCACGGUUCCACCUCCCACCCCCCUUGCCUGUGGAAGCUCAAAAUAAGCUUUCUAGAGCAUGAUGUUUCUUGUGUGAGGGGUCAUCUGAGGUUGUAAAGACUGAAGCUCUUCACCAGAGAAACGCAGGAAGCAUCCCGCAGCUAAGUGAGGCAAUGUCUGGGGCACGCCAGGCCACGCCAGGUAGCUCAGAGGGGAGGAACGCCCCUGGCUACACAGCCUGCGUCUGAGCCCUGCUGGUGGCCAGGCCAUCUGCUGGGCUCCAUCCCUGGGCGUCUUUCCAGCCUGUCUUCAGUGCUCAGGGCGUCUUUAGCAGAGCAUAAAGUGGCAUUUCACUUGUCCCUCUACCCAACAGCAAGGAAGUGGACCUCUCUUAGGCUUUUCUUGGAAGACGAAAGGAAAGAAAGAACGUUCUCAAUGUGAGAUCCUACAGGACCACUGUACUGGGUCGAAUGGCGUCCCCCCCCACCAAAUUCAUGUCUGCAUGGAACCUACAAAUGUGACUUUGUUUGGAAAGAGGGUCUUUGCAGAUGUAAUUAAGAUGUACUCCACAGGCCUGGGGAGAUCAAGGCUAACAGCAUGUUGUAUGAGGAUGGCCCCAGUCCAAUGACUGAUGCCCUUAUAUGAGGGAAAUCUGGACACAGACACACAGAGAAGGCCACGCGGUGGUGGAGGCAGAGAUGGGAGAGAUGUGUCUACAAGCCAAGGAGCGAGCAGGACCGCCGGCCACCACCAGGAGCUGGCAGGGGCAAGGAAGUCAUUCUUCCCUGGGGGCUUCAGAGGGAGCACGGUCCCAGUACACCUUGAGUGUUGGCCUUCUGGCCUCCAGAGCUGUGAGAGAAUCCAUUUUGGUUGUUUGAAGCUGCUGAGUUUGUGGCGUUUUGUUACGGCUGUCCCAGGAAAGGAAUACAAUCACCAAAUGUCAAACACAGGGCAGCUGGGAAAAACAAGAGGGAAAUGCAUGAGGCACGUAAAGAAAAGACUUGGAAGAGACCAAGGAGGGACAGGAAGGAAUGCUUCCUCAACUUCCUCCUCGCACCCGGACAGGAAGCCGGAGACCUAGUGGCUGAGCCUUGGAAGAAGCGGCUACCUAUUCCCCCCCACAAGAGCGGGUGAGCUUGGAUGUCGGAUGAAUGAGAAGGGUCUGAAUCUUGCUGGGUCCCAGGGAGACCCUGUUAAUAAUAACAAACUCAAGAUAUGGUCUCGUCUCAUCCUCACCACAGUGCCUAAAGCAGGUUUUAUUGAAAUCCCCGUGUAUAGAUUAGGAACAAGGCAGGGCGGUUGGGUGCCUGCCCAGGGUCAUAGGCAGCAGCAGUGAUCUGGAACUGGAGCCCAGCUUUCCCACACCCUGCCCUUACCACUUGUCCUCUCCUGAUCCAGGGCUCCAGUGCCCAUGUCCAGUGCCUUGGUGGGGCUGGGCCAAGAGGCACAGCGAGGGCCCUGGCCACAGGCAGGGGCGUUGGAGCCCUGCUGCCUAGGUUUGGAUCCCAGCUCUACUCCUGGUGAGCUGUGUGACCUUGGGCAAGUUACAUUACAUCCCUGUUUUGCAGUUUCACCCACUGAGAAAAUAGGGACAAGAAUAGUACGUAACUCAUGGAGUUGCUGGAGACCUCCAUGGGUCAGUACGUUUCAGGUGCUUAGAAUAGUGCUUGGCACACUGGAAGCACAGCCAUAAAAGUGUUGUGAAAUAAAUAAAACCCGCUGGGCGAGAGAACUCUUUCUUUCAUAGCUGGGGCCAAGGAGAGGGCUUCAGGAUGGUGACCUGUCUUAUUCUUACUCCACAGACAUGGAGAUAUCAAGGCCAAUAGCAUUCUCAUGCAGUUCUCUUCUAUUUCCCAUAGAACCCUCAAGACCAGCAAGGGGGACACCUGAGAGCAGAAAGCAGAGUUGCACCCACAUUCUGGGCAGGCUGACUCAGUUGCUAGAAUCCUGCCUCUAGGGCCAAGAUUACUGUUUGAUCCUGAUCUGGGCCAGCUUUGUCCUACUGGAGGAAAGCUUGGAACCCUGAAUCCUACUUGGUUGGUCUCCUGCUUGGCUGUUUUGCUCACAGUGGGAACCUGGUCUGGGGUGAUUCACUAUCACUCAUCGCUCCACAGAAGGAUGGUGCCCGGUGCACAUCCCCAGGAUAGUGUUAACCGUCACCUUUACGCAUGGCACUCAGAAUGCGCAGAGUGGUGUGUGCAUGCAGCAACGUGUAUACACCCUGUGCAUCUGGGAGGUCCUCCAGUCAUCUCUGGCCGCGUCCUGCGGAGGGUGCUGCAGCCUCUACCUGGCCUCUGGCUCUUUCUUUCCUUUCCUUUCUUUCUUUCCUUCUUUCUCUUCCUUUCUCUUCCUUUCCUUUCUUUCCUUUCUUUCCUUUCUCUUUCCUUUCUUUCCUUCCUUUCUUCCUUCCUUCCUUCCCUUUCUUCUUUCUUUUCUUUCCUUCCUUUCCUUCUUCCUUCCUUUCUUUCUUUUUCUUCUUUCUUUCUCUCUCUCUUUCUUUCUUUCUCUCUCUCUUUCUAGAGUCUUGCUCUGUCACCACGCUGGAGUGCAGUGGAGUGAUCUCGGCUCAUUGCAACCUCUGCGACCCAGCUUCAAGCGAUUCUCCUGCCUCAGUCUCCCAAGUAGCUGGGACUAUAGGCAUGCACCACCACAAACAGUUAAUUUUUUUUGUAUUUUUAGUAGAGAUGGGGUUUCACCAUGUUGGCCAGGCUGGUCUUGAACUCCUGACCUCAGGUGAUCCCCCCCACCUUGGCCUCCCAAAGUGCUGGGAUUACAGAGGUGGCUCUUUUAAUUGACUCCUCUCCAGGCAUCUCUCCUUCCAGCCACAGAGCCUGGCCUGAUGGUCCCAGGGCCCCAGGGCCCCAGGUGAAGGCCUCUCUCCUCCCCCACUCAGGUCUGACCAGCUCUGUUUCCAUCCUGGUGUGGGCACAAGGUCUCUUGCUGCAGCUGGGCCAGUUUGCUGACCUUCUCAGCUCCUUCUCUUAGACUGGAGAGGCCUGGAAGGGUGCCCGAGGGAGGGUCUGGGCUGCUCUCCUGGGCUCCUCCCCUCCACUCCAGGACUCUGGCUGGAGCCUGGUCAGGGUCCUUACUGAGUUCUCAGCCAAGCGCCAGCCCUGUGAUGGCCUGAGGGGUCUGGUGGGGAAGCCCCAAAGUGAGGGCUCCAUAGCCCUCACUGUCCCUCCCCCAGCAUUGUGCAGUGCCGGCGGUCUCUGAGUUCUUCUGGGUAGCCUUUCUACCACAUCCUCUUGCCUACUUUCACCAGGUGGCCAAGGGACACUAAAAAAGGCAGUGAAUAGCUAGAGGACCACUCUUGAAAAUCAGCCUGCCUUCCUCCUGGUGCCAGCUCCUGUCCCUCCGGCCUCCUUUUCAUAGAAUUCUACAACAGGAGGAAACAGAGAGGUCAUCUCCUCCACCUUCACCAAGUUUCCAGAACGGAUGGGUUAGAGGGAUCUGGCGUUCUCUGAGGCUUCGGGCCAAACCUUGGACAUUGGGCUGGCCAGAGAUCUUGCUGGGGUUGCCUUGGGAAUUGUAUAUCCAUUGGGAGCACUAGCCCUGAACACCUGGGGCUCCCCACCUGCUAGGAGCUGGGAGGACUCUGGUGUUCCCUGCAACCCCCCAGGGUCUGGGUGGACGGAAUGGCAGCCCAGGACUGUUCCCCAGGCUGACCUGGACUCUGAUGAGAGCCAAGAGUGGACCUAGCUGUCAUUUAGAUCCCUGGGGGAGCCUUCACAGUAGCUGCCAAGCAGAGGUCCUGGCACUGGGGAGGGUUCUCACACGUAGGAGGGGCAGUACUUAAGCAAGUAACAGUGGAGAGGGCACUGGAUUUGACAUCAGCUGAGAGGUGGUCCGUUUCUGCUUCUCUCACUGCUUAUCUGUGAUCUGAGGCAAGCCUAAACUCCUCUACAGCUUAGUUUACUCAUCUGGAAAGUGUGGUAUAUUUUAUUUUACCUGCCUUACAUCUGAGGCAUGGAGGAAGGACGGAAUGAGAUCACCUAUUAAAAUGCAUUUUGAAAAAACAAAAGUGCUAUUUAUGCAAACACAUGGUACUAAAAAUAAAAGAUGCCUGUUUGCUUCUGGAAGUAAAAGUUGUGAAUGAUGCCGGGCGCUGUGGCUCACACCUGUAAUCCCAGCACUUUGGGAGGUCAAGGCGGGUGGAUCACAAGGUCGAGAGAUCGAGACCAACCUGGCCGACAUGGGGAAACCCCAUCUCUACUAAAAAUACCAAAAAAAUUAGCUGAGCACGGUGGCACACGCCUGUAGUCCCAGCUACUCAGGAGGCUGAGGCAGGAGAAUCACUUGAACCCGGGAGGCGGAGGUUGCAGUGAGCCGAGAUUGCGCCAUUGCACUCCUGCACUCCAGCCUGGUGACAGAGCGAGACCAUCCG